AGCGCGGGCUGGCGCCGAGGACCGGCCUUGCGAGCGGCGCGCACUAUAAAAUGGCGCGUGCUGCAACCCGCGCCCGCUUCGGAGAGAGAAAUGCUGGGGUGCAGCUUCAAGCUUAGGACCACCCACCAUGCCUAUCCAGCAUCCCUCCAGACACUCUGCUGUUUCCUGCCUAGGCGUGGCUGCAGCCAUGGCUAGGAAAGCGCUGCCACCCACCCACCUGGGCCAGAGCUGGUUCUGCUCCUGCUGCAGGGACACUGAGCUGGCUAUCUCGGCGCUUCGGGCAAGAACUGCAACAGGCUCUCCUGGGUCCUGCAGGUGUACAGCCGGGCCCCUGCCUUGUGCCUCAGCUCUCGAGAGCUGCUGCUGCCGGGUGACCUGAUCCAACCUGAUAAGGUGCCAUCUUCAGCUACCACUGCAAGGCCCUGAGGGCAACAGCAGCACGGCACUGCCCACCCGGCUGCUGAUGGCCUGGUGCCAGCUGGGAGUCCUCCCGGCACUUCGAGGCCACUGAGCCACCCUUCCAGCCCCAGCCCACCAUGGACAGGGGUAUCCAGCUUCCUCCUCAACCUCGUCCUCUGCCCCUGAGCCAGUGACGCCCAAGGACAUGCCUGUUACCCAGGUCCUGUACCAGCACUAGCUGGUCAAGGGCAUGACAGUGCUGGAGGCCGUCUUGGAGAUCCAGGCCAUCACUGGCAGCAGGCUGCUCUCCAUGGUGCCAGGGCCCGCCAGGCCACCAGGCUCAUGCUGGGACCCAACCCAGUGCACAAGGACUUGGCUGCUGAGCCACACACCCAGGAGAAGGUGGAUAAGUGGGCUACCAAGGGCUUCCUGCAGGCUAGGGGAGGAGCCACCCCCGCUUCCCUAUUGUGACCAGGCCUAUGGGGAGGAGCUGUCCAUACGCCACCGUGAGACCUGGGCCUGGCUCUCAAGGACAGACACCGCCUGGCCUGGUGCUCCAGGGGUGAAGCAGGCCAGAAUCCUGGGGGAGCUGCUCCUGGUUUGAGCUGCAUUCAGGAAGUGCGGGACAUGGUAGGGGAGGCAAAAAGCCUUGGGCACUACCCUCCCUGUGGAGCUGUUCGGUGUCCGUCGAGCUAGCCACACCCUGACACCAUGUUCAAGGGUACCGGAAGAGAAGGGUGUCUGCCCCCAACCUCCCCUGUGGGUGUCACUGGCCAGAUGUCAUGAGGGAAGCAGGCCUUGUGAGUGGACACUGACCAUGAGUCCCUGGGGGGAGUGAUCCCCCAGGCAUCGUGUGCCAUGUUGCACUUCUGCCCAGGCAGCAGGGUGGGUGGGUACCAUGGGUGCCCACCCCUCCACCACAUGGGGCCCCAAAGCACUGCAGGCCAAGCAGGGCAACCCCACACCCUUGACAUAAAAGCAUCUUGAAGCUUUUACUCCGUUUUUAUAAGGA
ensembl:lncRNA C19orf48P multidrug resistance-related protein